ACGCUGGCGGCGUGCCUAAUACAUGCAAGUAGAACGCUGAAGAGAGGAGCUUGCUCUUCUUGGAUGAGUUGCGAACGGGUGAGUAACGCGUAGGUAGCCUGCCUUGUAGCGGGGGAUAACUAUUGGAAACGAUAGCUAAUACCGCAUAACAAUGGAUGACACAUGUCAUUUAUUUGAAAGGGGCAAUUGCUCCACUACAAGAUGGACCUGCGUUGUAUUAGCUAGUAGGUGAGGUAACGGCUCACCUAGGCGACGAUACAUAGCCGACCUGAGAGGGUGAUCGGCCACACUGGGACUGAGACACGGCCCAGACUCCUACGGGAGGCAGCAGUAGGGAAUCUUCGGCAAUGGGGGCAACCCUGACCGAGCAACGCCGCGUGAGUGAAGAAGGUUUUCGGAUCGUAAAGCUCUGUUGUAAGUCAAGAACGAGUGUGAGAGUGGAAAGUUCACACUGUGACGGUAGCUUACCAGAAAGGGACGGCUAACUACGUGCCAGCAGCCGCGGUAAUACGUAGGUCCCGAGCGUUGUCCGGAUUUAUUGGGCGUAAAGCGAGCGCAGGCGGUUUGAUAAGUCUGAAGUUAAAGGCUGUGGCUCAACCAUAGUUCGCUUUGGAAACUGUCAAACUUGAGUGCAGAAGGGGAGAGUGGAAUUCCAUGUGUAGCGGUGAAAUGCGUAGAUAUAUGGAGGAACACCGGUGGCGAAAGCGGCUCUCUGGUCUGUAACUGACGCUGAGGCUCGAAAGCGUGGGGAGCGAACAGGAUUAGAUACCCUGGUAGUCCACGCCGUAAACGAUGAGUGCUAGGUGUUGGAUCCUUUCCGGGAUUCAGUGCCGCAGCUAACGCAUUAAGCACUCCGCCUGGGGAGUACGACCGCAAGGUUGAAACUCAAAGGAAUUGACGGGGGCCCGCACAA
rnacentral:rRNA from 1 species